AUUUAAGUAGUUUAUUUUAGAAUAUUAAUUUGUGGAGUUAAAGGUGAAUAUUUUUUCUUAAAUC
rnacentral:tRNA from 1 species